UACGUAGGCAGCGAGCGUUGUUCGGAGUUACUGGGCGUAAAGGGUGUGUAGGCGGUUAUUUAAGUUUGGUGUGAAAUCUCCCGGCUCAACCGGGAGGGUGCGCCGAAUACUGAAUGACUUGGAGUGCGGGAGAGGUGAGUGGAAUUCCUGGUGUAGCGGUGAAAUGCGUAGAUAUUAGGAAGAACACCGGUGGCGAAGGCGGUCUGCUGGGCAGUUGCUGACACUGAGGCGCGACAGCGUGGGGAGCAAACAGG
rnacentral:rRNA from 1 species